rnacentral:rRNA from 1 species
GGCCUACGGGGGGCAGCAGUGGGGAAUAUUGGGCAAUGGGCGCAAGCCUGACCCAGCAACGCCGCGUGAAGGAAGAAGGCCCUCGGGUUGUAAACUUCUUUUGUCAGGGACGAAGCAAGUGACGGUACCUGACGAAUAAGCCACGGCUAACUACGUGCCAGCAGCCGCGGUAAUACGUAGGUGGCAAGCGUUAUCCGGAUUUACUGGGUGUAAAGGGCGUGUAGGCGGGGCAGCAAGUCAGAU